rnacentral:lncRNA from 1 species
AAAUUUAUCGACAUGUUGGCUAAACUGUUUUUUUUUUUUUAAUACUUAACGUAAAAUUAGUUAAUUGGAUGCAAAAUAUUAUCUUUGUAAAUGAAAGGAUAAUAAUUGGUGAAUAGAAAGGAUACCAACAUUUAGCCAACAUGAUGCAAAACAGAAAUAAGAUAUCGAUCUACGGUCUACGUUAGCCUGGUCCGGCGUUCUGCCACGCCCACCUGGUUGAUCGCCCGACAACUGUAGUUCCCCGCAUGCCCCUCCCCCGCCCUGUUGAUCAGCAGUAGGCUGGUGUGUUCGCCAACUGUGGCCUGAGUGACGUCAUCGUUGCCAUCAUCGUGCACCUGACGCCCAUCUAGCCACCAUUCGAACAUAAUGGGCGUGGACCCCCGGCUGGCAAUGCAGGAUGGACCAGCGACUGGCCACGCCCGCCGCGUUGCUGGCCACGCACGUGUAGUUGCCGGAGUCACCAAUGGUGGUCUGACGCAGCGACAGGAUCAGGGUGUAUUCGUCGAUCUUGUGGUAGAUGGAGCGCAGCAGGGGCUGUCCGUCCUUCAGCCAGUAGAUGUCGAUGGGCAGGUCGCCGGAGGAGACCAUGCACAUGACCCGCACUGCCUGGCCGCCAUUCACCCCGUUGGCAUUGAAGUGGAACUGAUCAACCUGGGGCAGCUCUGGGAGCGGAUGAUAAGAAAGCCGUGCAUGGAAUGAACACACUGUACAGCGAGGAAAUUUCGGAUGGGUGUACUACGAAAACCCCCAACUCGAGUUGUAUAAUACAGAUAAUACAGGAUUCCAAUCUACGACUAAGACGCCACCCCCAGCUAGCGAUUCCUUAGGAGUAAUUCGCACAAACCCUUGACACUCAGGUGGGUCUCAGCCGUGGUUUCGCCCGCCCGGUUGGCGCCCUUGCAGGUGUAGUUGCCCGCGUGGUCACCCCCCACGCUCUCGAUGUUCAGCGAGCUGCUGCGCCGGCCGUGCAUCAGGAUGGUGACCCCGGCCAAGUCUCCGGCGGGCUCGUUGUUGUAGUACCAGGUAAUGUUGAAGGGUGCGUCGCCGUGCACCACCGCGCACGUCAACUGGUAGUAGUCGCCCACGUACAGUGGCGAAUUUACGGG